CGGUCCGCCCCCUAUACGUCAUCAUUGAGUAAACUUUGACCCGGAACCUCACAGUCAGCAGACACUUCCUGGGAGGGAGGGUCUGCUGCUGAUUGGGUGGAAUGUUUCUGCUGGCUGUGAGGUUCCGGGUCAAAGUUUACUCAAUGAUGACGUAUAGGGGGCGGACCG
rnacentral:miRNA from 1 species